CAUUGCCAAUGAAUUCCAUGUUGGACAAGCAAUCAAAAAGUGAAGCUAUCUCAAAAAAAGUAAGAAGACAAAGCAUGCCAGCUGUACAUUUCCCCCCAACUAAGCCAGCUGAAGUAUCACCUGCCCAAGAAAAAAUCACUGAUCAUAGAAAUGAGAGGGCAGCACCUCAAUGCACUAUGUGCAAGAAUUGGAUGAAAGGCCAUAAAAAUAUAAUUAACUGUCCAAAAAACCAAAAGUAACCAUUUUUUUAGGAGCUGGUGGUAUGAGCCCAGUAAGUUGGGAUUCAGUGAAGUGUGAAAUGACUGCAUGGAAAGAAUAAAAAGAAAAGGAAUUGUAAUUUUGUACGUUUUGUAUAACAGGAAUAAGUGUGAAUCGAAGAUGCAAUACAUCAAGAGUGGCUAAUAUCAUUCCACACUUCUCUGGUCUCCCUAGUCUUUAAGAACUUUGUAUAAAGCAUAACAUACCUAUGGAACGACCUCAGCAAUCGCAGAUACUAAGAUAAGAAAGACAUAUAUAAGUUGUAUUGGACUCUCCAGGGGCAAGAAAUCGCAGCGUCACACACAGCUUAUCAUGUGCAGGAAUGGAAUCGCCCAUUGUUGUGUCUUGUAUUGUUAUGAGAGGUUUUACCUUUUGUAAAAGUUCGUCAAAUAAGCUCACAUUCAUUCUGCAGAAACAAAAAUAUAUUGAAUUAACCAAUGUA